ACACACGGGCACACGCAAACACUUGCCGCUAAGCGGUACGGAAGACAGAGGGAUUGUGAUUAUUCACAUUUAGAGGUGAAAUAGAGCAUGUGGUGACAGCAGAGCGGCGGCAGCGUCCAGAGGGGAUUGGUGAUGGGGGGACGAACACAACACCAGAAUGGUUUUUCAGAUUUUCAAAAAAAAAUUGUUUGAAUUUUCAGGCAUGAUUGGUUCUAGUUUCAAAUGGGACGUUUCUAUGGAGCAGGCGCAUUUGCAUUCUGCCAGGUGUGACUGGUGUUGACAUGAAAUGCCAUAUAAUACAUUACAACUAACCCUUAAAACUGGCUGAUCAGGAAAGACUUACACCAUCGGCUCUCAAGCUUACAGCGAAAAAUGAUGUAUUCGAUGUCGCUGCCCCAUCUGUUGCUCUUCGCCAUGUGACGCUGUGCUUUCAUGUUGUUCAUAUAGCAUGGCAGAUAUUUCUGCUUCUCUUCAUGUGUAGCGAUAGGACUUAAAAGCUUCAGUAGUGUUCUUAAAAAAACAUGUUCCCACAUGGAUACAUUGUUUAAGUCCAGUAUCAACCGAGCAGUCACCUCAGUCAAGCUUCAGAGAGCUUUUAAGAUCCUAAAGACGGCUUGGCAACUUCCAAUCACAUACGUGCUUUUGCAAAUUUCUUCAACCUUGUGGAGAGCUUCUAAUAGGUCGCGGCAGUCCGCCGCACACACUGCAGAGGGUUGUUCAGCACAAACUAGGGGCACAAACAGCAAGCACUGUUUGUGUGUGUAUACAGGAUAUGUGCAUUCGUUAUCUAACUGGUCUCCCAAAAAUCCAAUCACACUGUGAAGCUCAGGUCAGUUCAUCACAUCUCAAUGGUCCCUGAACAUAAUCACAUUGUAUUUUGGAAAUGUUUCAAAAGUUAGAAGAAAUAAGAAAUGGCAUCGACCGAAGACAACGUCCUCACUCUAAUCCACUGUGGCAGAGGACAUCACGUGGGAACCACAAUUAAAGAUUCAAGCACGAUUACAUCCAUUUUCCCCAAAAUAAUUAUAAGACCUGGCCCACGAUUUGGUGAUCACAGUCUGUAAAGGGAUGAUUCAAUUUUGCCUUUGAAACAUGUUUUUGUCUUUGACAUGGUGCAUUGAGGAGAGCUACCAAAUCUGCUGAAUAAAGAAUCGAAGAGAAGUAUUUCUAAAUGGGUGUUGGAUCCUUUUCAGUUCUAAACAAAUAUCACUAUGUCUUGUGCACAAUAUUGGCCUGCCUUUCCCAGGCAUUAAACAAACUUGCAUUAAAAAAUAAGUUCACUAGUCAAAAUCAAUAAAAUUCCUUGAAGAUGGGGAAGUUUUCAAUCUCUUAUGUCAAACAAGUACCAAAAUCCUUUCACCUUGUGUCGUGGUUCCAAUGUUACAGUCAACAAUAUCAAUAUCAUUAAAUCAUUUUGAUAACAACAAUGAUUCAAUUGAAACUCCAUAAUGUGAAAUAGUUCUGUGCUCUGCCAAACUCACUGAGCAUCAGCACUCAGCAACAGUCUAGGUUUAGUCUCACGGCUUUCAGCAACAGAUGGAUGACAUUCUAGUUUUAGACAAGAUAAUAGAAAACCACAGGGUUUUGGUUUCAUGUCAUGAAGACGUAUUAAUGGACAUUUUUAUCAAUCAGAUAUGAUAGUAGUUGUUUCCCACAUGAAAUCUUGCCAUUUAGACAUCAAAGUACCAGACCCGGUAUGACAGAGGGGACGGUGGUGCAUGAAAUUCAACAGAUAACAAUAUAUAAUAAUGUAAUAAAUCAUAAUGCAUUUAAGAUCCCUGGAAUGGCAUUGGGCAAAGCUUCACUCAUAUGAAACUAUGUCACUGCUGGAUCCUAAAUGUAGAAUUGUAUUAAGAGGCUGAACACACAUAAACAUCUCUAACAUCCAUUUGUGAUAAUGUCCUUGGAAAUAAUCAAAACGAAGUUUGUAUAAUCAUCAGGGACAAUGGACAAUGCAUGUACAAGGGACUAUUUUUAUUACUAUCAUUAUCUAAACCCAUCAGUCUAUUAAACCUGAAAUACAAAACAUCACCAUAUUGCAUACUGUCACCAGACACAUUUUGUUAAUAAUCAACAACCUUUCAUGAAAAAAUAGCAGGAAAAUGAUCUAAUAGAAGACAAAUUUGUAAUCCAAAUAUGUCCCUGCCACUUUGCAUGCUUUGAUUGUGAGUUUAAUCACACUGAUAUCAUCAGACUGCAGUGUUUACAAUUUUUGUCUUAGUUCCAUCAUAACCAUUUUUAAUAAAAACACAUAGAUACAGGGUCAAUUAUCCUAACAUAUUUCACCAGAGGACACGACGGAGACAAAGAUAAAAGAGGGCGAUUUUGGGAAAGAGUCCAACAAGGUGGAGAGAGAGAGAGAGAGAGAGAGAGAGAUAGCUGCACAAAUCACUGUGACACUAAAGAACUAGUCUUCAGAAAGGGAAUUAACAGACAAUUUGCAUAUUAACAUAAUCCUUUCCUUUCAUUCCCUUUUCUUGAUGUCUGUCAGUUUGGGCACCUCUGGUUCCUCAUUUGGUCUCCUUAUCACUCCAUUCCAGGAUCGUUGGGAAUCUUUUCGCUUCCCCAGUGAACUCUAGCUAAAAAGGCAACAACUUCAAAUCCGUUCAAUUAUUUUGCAGCAUAGGCUGAUGUAAGGAGAUGUCACUGAGCGAUCUGCGAGAUAAAAACUGUAAACUAUAGAGUUUAUCAAAGAAAAGGAGACAAGGAAUUGGAGGAUUAAAGAAGAGGGACUGCGGCUGUUGCCCCAAGGUGAGUCACUUAUUAAAUCUGACAGUCCCAAUAUUAAAAAACUGCACUUAUAAAUACCACCUGAAACUAA
ensembl:lncRNA